GGGUUGUGAGGUUAAGCGACUAAGCGUACACGGUGGAUGCCCUGGCAGUCAGAGGCGAUGAAGGGCGUGCUAAUCUGCGAUAAGCGCCGGUAAGGUGAUAUGAACCGUUAUAACCGGCGAUACCCGAAUGGGGAAACCCAGUGUGAUUCGUCACACUAUCAUUAACUGAAUCCAUAGGUUAAUGAGGCGAACCGGGGGAACUGAAACAUCUAAGUACCCCGAGGAAAAGAAAUCAACCGAGAUUCCCCCAGUAGCGGCGAGCGAACGGGGAGGAGCCCAGAGCCUGAAUCAGCAUGUGUGUUAGUGGAAGCGUCUGGAAAGGCGCGCGAUACAGGGUGACAGCCCCGUACACAAAAGCGCAUGUGCUGUGAGCUCGAUGAGUAGGGCGGGACACGUGGUAUCCUGUCUGAAUAUGGGGGGACCAUCCUCCAAGGCUAAAUACUCCUGACUGACCGAUAGUGAACCAGUACCGUGAGGGAAAGGCGAAAAGAACCCCGGCGAGGGGAGUGAAAAAGAACCUGAAACCGUGUACGUACAAGCAGUGGGAGCCUCUUUUAUGGGGUGACUGCGUACCUUUUGUAUAAUGGGUCAGCGACUUAUAUUCUGUAGCAAGGUUAACCGAAUAGGGGAGCCGGAGGGAAACCGAGUCUUAAUUGGGCGUUAAGUUGCAGGGUAUAGACCCGAAACCCGGUGAUCUAGCCAUGGGCAGGUUGAAGGUUGGGUAACACUAACUGGAGGACCGAACCGACUAAUGUUGAAAAAUUAGCGGAUGACCUGUGGCUGGGGGUGAAAGGCCAAUCAAACCGGGAGAUAGCUGGUUCUCCCCGAAAGCUAUUUAGGUAGCGCCUCGUGAAUUCAUCUCCGGGGGUAGAGCACUGUUUCGGCUAGGGGGCCAUCCCGGCUUACCAACCCGAUGCAAACUGCGAAUACCGGAGAAUGUUAUCACGGGAGACACACGGCGGGUGCUAACGUCCGUCGUGAAGAGGGAAACAACCCAGACCGCCAGCUAAGGUCCCAAAGUCAUGGUUAAGUGGGAAACGAUGUGGGAAGGCCCAGACAGCCAGGAUGUUGGCUUAGAAGCAGCCAUCAUUUAAAGAAAGCGUAAUAGCUCACUGGUCGAGUCGGCCUGCGCGGAAGAUGUAACGGGGCUAAACCAUGCACCGAAGCUGCGGCAGCGAACGUAUCACUUAAAGCGAUUCAGCGGGUUACGAUUGACGGAGCGAAGCGACGUCAAAGCGUAUACAAAGUCGAGUCGGUUUAAGGAUACGUUCGUUGGGUAGGGGAGCGUUCUGUAAGCCUGUGAAGGUGGCCUGUGAAGGUUGCUGGAGGUAUCAGAAGUGCGAAUGCUGACAUAAGUAACGAUAAAGCGGGUGAAAAGCCCGCUCGCCGGAAGACCAAGGGUUCCUGUCCAACGUUAAUCGGGGCAGGGUGAGUCGACCCCUAAGGCGAGGCCGAAAGGCGUAGUCGAUGGGAAACGGGUUAAUAUUCCCGUACUUGGUGUUACUGCGAAGGGGGGACGGAGAAGGCUAUGUUGGCCGGGCGACGGUUGUCCCGGUUUAAGCGUGUAGGUGUGUGUUCCAGGUAAAUCCGGUUCACUUUAACACUGAGGCGUGACGACGAGGCACUACGGUGCUGAAGCAACAAAUGCCCUGCUUCCAGGAAAAGCCUCUAAGCAUCAGGUAACAUCAAAUCGUACCCCAAACCGACACAGGUGGUCAGGUAGAGAAUACCAAGGCGCUUGAGAGAACUCGGGUGAAGGAACUAGGCAAAAUGGUGCCGUAACUUCGGGAGAAGGCACGCUGACACGUAGGUGAAGUGAUUUACUCACGGAGCUGAAGUCAGUCGAAGAUACCAGCUGGCUGCAACUGUUUAUUAAAAACACAGCACUGUGCAAACACGAAAGUGGACGUAUACGGUGUGACGCCUGCCCGGUGCCGGAAGGUUAAUUGAUGGGGUCAGCGCAAGCGAAGCUCCUGAUCGAAGCCCCGGUAAACGGCGGCCGUAACUAUAACGGUCCUAAGGUAGCGAAAUUCCUUGUCGGGUAAGUUCCGACCUGCACGAAUGGCGUAAUGAUGGCCAGGCUGUCUCCACCCGAGACUCAGUGAAAUUGAACUCGCUGUGAAGAUGCAGUGUACCCGCGGCAAGACGGAAAGACCCCGUGAACCUUUACUAUAGCUUGACACUGAACAUUGAGCCUUGAUGUGUAGGAUAGGUGGGAGGCUUUGAAGUGUGGACGCCAGUCUGCAUGGAGCCGACCUUGAAAUACCACCCUUUAAUGUUUGAUGUUCUAACGUGGACCCGUAAUCCGGGUUGCGGACAGUGUCUGGUGGGUAGUUUGACUGGGGCGGUCUCCUCCUAAAGAGUAACGGAGGAGCACGAAGGUUGGCUAAUCCUGGUCGGACAUCAGGAGGUUAGUGCAAUGGCAUAAGCCAGCUUGACUGCGAGCGUGACGGCGCGAGCAGGUGCGAAAGCAGGUCAUAGUGAUCCGGUGGUUCUGAAUGGAAGGGCCAUCGCUCAACGGAUAAAAGGUACUCCGGGGAUAACAGGCUGAUACCGCCCAAGAGUUCAUAUCGACGGCGGUGUUUGGCACCUCGAUGUCGGCUCAUCACAUCCUGGGGCUGAAGUAGGUCCCAAGGGUAUGGCUGUUCGCCAUUUAAAGUGGUACGCGAGCUGGGUUUAGAACGUCGUGAGACAGUUCGGUCCCUAUCUGCCGUGGGCGCUGGAGAACUGAGGGGGGCUGCUCCUAGUACGAGAGGACCGGAGUGGACGCAUCACUGGUGUUCGGGUUGUCAUGCCAAUGGCACUGCCCGGUAGCUAAAUGCGGAAGAGAUAAGUGCUGAAAGCAUCUAAGCACGAAACUUGCCCCGAGAUGAGUUCUCCCUGAGACUUUAGGUCUCCUGAAGGAACGUUGAAGACGACGACGUUGAUAGGCCGGGUGUGUAAGCGCAGCGAUGCGUUGAGCUAACCGGUACUAAUGAACCGUGAGGCUUAACCUUACAACGCCGAAGCUGUU
rnacentral:rRNA from 1 species